AGAGUUUGAUCAUGGCUCAGAUUGAACGCUGGCGGCAUGCUUUACACAUGCAAGUCGAACGGCAGCGCGGGGGCAACCCUGGCGGCGAGUGGCGAACGGGUGAGUAAUGCAUCGGAACGUAUCCUGUAAUGGGGGAUAACGUAGCGAAAGUUACGCUAAUACCGCAUACGCUCGAGAGAGGAAAGUGGGGGAUCGCAAGACCUCACGUUAUAGGAGCGGCCGAUGUCCGAUUAGCUAGUUGGUGGGGUAAAGGCCUACCAAGGCGACGAUCGGUAGCUGGUCUGAGAGGAUGAUCAGCCACACUGGGACUGAGACGCGGCCCAGACUCCUACGGGAGGCAGCAGUGGGGAAUUUUGGACAAUGGGCGAAAGCCUGAUCCAGCCAUGCCGCGUGCGGGAAGAAGGCCUUCGGGUUGUAAACCGCUUUAGUCCGGGAAAAAGGGGUGCGAGGAUAAUACCCUCGUGCUUUGAUGGUACUGGAAGAAUAAGCACCGGCUAACUACGUG
rnacentral:rRNA from 1 species